AGCUACCACGCACACAGCUACCACACAGAGCUACCACACACACAGCUACCACAGAGAGCUACCACACACACAGCUACCACAGAGAGCCACCACACACACAGCUACCACACAGAGCUACCACACACACACACAGCUACCACACACACACACACAGCUACCACACAGCUACCACGCACACACAGCUACCACACACACACACAGCUACCACACACACAGCUACCACACACGCACACAGCUACCACACACACAGAGAGCCACCACCGCGCCAACCGCUGCGCCACCGCUCCCCGCCUGGUGACGUCCCAGCUCUAUUUGUCCGACUCGGAGCGAGCGAUGGUGAAAAUCGCGGGAGCGGCAGUCACCGUAGCAGUGCUGAUGAUCACAGCGGGCACGCCACACGCGGGACAAUUCUUCUUCUCGGCCCGCGCUCUGCCGUGGUGCGCGGCGGCGCGCUACUGCCGCUCGCACGGCGGGCACCUCGCCACCGUGGGGGACGCGCGGCUCAACGCUCGCCUCGCGCUCGCCGCCACCGCUCCCCACG